GACUGAGGCGGAGAGGAGAGACUGUCGUCUUUUAGACUGUGGUUACGGCACAAUAUCUCCGGUUGUAAUUGGUGUUGCUGUAGGGGCUGCUGUUGCUCUUGUGAUACUGAUUGCAGUCAUCGCAGUAUGCAUCAAGCGGAGACAGAGACAGAAGGAAUACAACCGACAUAACAACGCUGCACAACCAUCAGAACUCCAGUUACUUCACUACAACCUUGAACUUCUGGCCGUGUUGGGUGAAGGUCACUUCUGGAAGGUCUGGAAGGCCAAGGCCAAUGGGAUUCUACACACAGGUCAAUGUGACAUCGUUGCU